GACCAUUUCGUGGAAAAUACAAGCCGGGGGUCCGUAGAAUGGAAAUUUGACAAGGUUGGGAAUCUGUGAUCACGAUGAACGAGAUGGAGCUUGUGUUUGGAUCGGAAGGUUUUCUGGCCUCGGGAACUUUGGCCAAGGCAGUUUCCUGGGUUGGUAAUGGUGCCUGUCUCCUCCAGGGCCACUCAACACAUCCAAUACUGUGACACAGGUAGGCUAGCCUCCUUCUCCCUCUUUCCACCCUGUCUUUAGGAUCAUCUCCAGACAUCUAAGGGCAUCAUUAUCACAGAUAAGAACACAGAUGCUGGGGCUGGAGAGAUGGCGCAGAGGUUAAGAGCUGGCACUAAUCUUUCAGAGGACUGGAGUUUGGUUCCCAUCCCCAUGUUGGGCAGAUCAUGACGGCCUGUGACUACAGCUUCAGAGGGCCUAGAACCUUCUUCUGGAGACCCUGCAUGCACUGCCUUCAUGUGCUCCUUCCCCUAAGACACAGACGCCUUCCUAACCGUCUCUGGUGACAACAGGACAGGAACAUCACAGCUGUUUAUGUGCUAUGAUUUCCUGUGUGUGCACACAGGAAUAAGACCCUCUUGCCUUGCCCACAAACCACUCUUCACUCUUGGGAUGACCUUGCUCCAGCUGGGAUCAGAAGUUCUAGAGCAUUCUGGAAGACAAAAUGGGUAGCAAGUACAGGAGAGAGCUCCCAACUUCAUCACCACCGGGAAAAUGCAAAAUGCAACCAUGAGAUGCCACCUCUCAAACAUAAGGAUGACGAAAUGCAGGAGUCAAGUGGGUGAAGCUGUGCCCUCUUACAGAACUAGAUAAAGACAUUGUGAACACCGGGCGGGCGCGGGGGCUUCGUAGAAAGCUAAAAGUAGGAUUGCCGUAUGAUCCAGCAAGCUCACUUCUGGAUAGAGCAAAGGAAGUGAAGUCACAGACAACCGCUUUAUGCUUAUACGUUGCAGUGUUAUAACUGGUAGCAAUUUGCCUGAGAUGUGCCAACUGAUCCAGAUGAAGAAAUCAGGCUACACACGUACAAUAGAAGGGAAUGUGCUUCAGCCUUGGAAGAGGCAGUCCUGACGUCUAUGAGUGAACAUGGAAGACAAAUGUGCCCCUCAGGGAAAGCGACACAUACAAGUUUGUCUAGAGAACUAGAAUAUUCUUUCUUGUGGAAAGAAAGGCCAUUUCCCAGGAGAGCUGAAGACCAGGAUGCGAAAUGACAUCUGGUGACCGCGCAGCUGUGGAUUGUCGAAUCCAAAGCAAUAAAAGGAUCUAGAAAUGUGAGCCAGUACUCUUUAAAAUAAAAAUAAAAAUAAAACC
ensembl:processed_transcript 1810053B23Rik RIKEN cDNA 1810053B23 gene